AUUGAACGCUGGCGGCAGGCCUAACACAUGCAAGUCGAGCGGAGCGGCGGACGGGUGAGUAAUGCCUAGGAAUCUGCCUGGUCGUGGGGGAUACCGACAGGAACCGGACGCUACUCCCGCAUACUAUCAGAUGAGCCUAGGUCGGAUUAGCUAGUUGGUGGGGUAAAGGCCUACCAAGGCGACGAUCCGUAACUGGUCUGAGAGGAUGAUCAGUCACACUGGAACUGAGACACGGUCCAGACUCCUACGGGAGGCAGCAGUGGGGAAUAUUGGACAAUGGGCGAAAGCCUGAUCCAGCCAUGCCGCGUGUGUGAAGAAGGUCUUCGGAUUGUAAAGCACUGUAAGUUGGGAGGCGUUACCAACAGAAGAAGCACCGGCUAACUCCGUGCCAGCAGCCGCGGUAAUUC
rnacentral:rRNA from 1 species